rnacentral:misc_RNA from 1 species
GAUGAAGAACGCAGCGAAAUGCGAUAAGUAAUGUGAAUUGCAGAAUUCAGUGAAUCAUCGAAUCUUUGAACGCACAUUGCGCCCCUUGGUAUUCCGAGGGGCAUGCCUGUUCGAGCGUCAUUAUAACCCCUCAAGCUCAGCUUGGUGUUGGGGCCUGCUGCACUGGCAGCCCUUAAAAUCAGUGGCGGCGCCAUCUGGCUCUAAGCGUAGUAAUUCUUCUCGCUAUGGAGUCCUGGUGGAUGCUUGCCAUCAACCCCCAAUUUUUCUAUGGUUGAACACGGAUCAGGUAGGGAUACCCGCUGAACUUAAGCAUAUCAAUAAGCGGAGGA